GCCGGUGUAGCUCAGUGGUAGAGCAGCGGUUUCGUAAACCGCAGGUCAAGGGUUCGACUCCCCUCACCGGCUCCA
rnacentral:tRNA from 1 species